rnacentral:misc_RNA from 1 species
GUGAAUCCAAGAUGUGCGACGGUGUUCUGGAAGAAGAUAAACUUUGUGUGAAUAUCUUAACUUUUGGUGAUAAGUUCUGUUCAGAAUGCGGAAAAUCUGUCACCAUUAAAGUUAACUAAUUUUAAAAAUUCAAAAUCCGUGCAGAGAAACUUGUAUAAAAUGCAGAAAGACAUGAAGACAUGUACAUGUAAUACACAAUGGCUAAUGAUCACGAGCUACAUAGCAUUUGUAUAUCAUGCACCAUGCACUUAAAAUGUAGUGUAAAUAUAUGCAUUUAUAUUAUAGAUACCAAUUGUCUAUAAUUGAAUAAAAAUUCAAAUGUUUU